rnacentral:rRNA from 1 species
AGCAGCCGCGGUAAUUCCAGCUCCAAUAGCGUAUAUUAAAGUUGUUGCAGUUAAAAGCUCGUAGUUGAAUUUCGGGAUCAAUAUGUCGGUCGUGCCUCGGUACGCACUGGCUUAUUGGUUUCUCCCUUCUGACGAACCAUGAUGUCAUUAAUUUGGUGUCUUGGGAAAUCAGGACUGUUACUUUGAAAAAUUAGAGUGUUUAAAGCAGGCUCACGCUUGAAUACAUUAGCAUGGAAUAAUGAAAUAGGACGUUUGAUUCUAUUUUGUUGGUUUCUAGGAUCGACGUAAUGAUUAAUAGGGAUAGUUGGGGGGCAUUAGUAUU